GGCUCAGAACGAACGUUGGCGGCGUGGAUUAGGCAUGCAAGUCGAACGAGAACCGGUAGCAAUACUGGGGAAAGUGGCGAAAGGGGCAGUAAUGCAUGGGUAAUCUACCCCGGGGACGUGGAUAGCCAUUCUAACGAGUGGGUAAUACACGGCGAUUCGGCGAGGGGGCAUCCUUUUGCCGGGAAAUGAAUUUCGCCUCGGGAGGAACUCAUGUCGUAUUAGCUUGUUGGCGGGGUAACGGCCCACCAAGGCAAAGAUGCGUAGCGGGUGUGAGAGCACGACCCGCGCCACUGGCACUGAGACACUGGCCAGACACCUACGGGUGGCUGCAGUCGAGGAUCUUCGGCAAUGGGCGCAAGCCUGACCGAGCGACGCCGCGUGUGCGACGAAGGCCUUCGGGUUGUAAAGCACUGUCGAGGGGGAGGAAAGCCGCAAGGUCCGACCUAUCCCUGGAGGAAGCACGGGCUAAGUUCGUGCCAGCAGCCGCGGUAAGACGAACCGUGCGAACGUUGUUCGGAAUCACUGGGCUUAAAGGGCGCGUAGGCGGGCGAUCAAGUCAGGGGUGAAAUCCUCCGGCUCAACCGGAGAACUGCCUCUGAUACUGGUCAUCUUGAGUGAGGUAGGGGCGUGCGGAACUGAUGGUGGAGCGGUGAAAUGUGUUGAUAUCAUCAGGAACUCCGGUGGCGAAAGCGGCGCGCUGGACCUCAACUGACGCUGAGGCGCGAAAGCCAGGGGAGCGAACGGGAUUAGAUACCCCGGUAGUCCUGGCCCUAAACGAUGAGAACUAGGUAGUAGACUUGACAUGGGUUUACUGCCGAAGCAAAAGUGCUAAGUUCUCCGCCUG
rnacentral:rRNA from 1 species